GUCAUAUGCUUGUCUCAAAGAUUAAGCCAUGCAUGUCUCAGUACAAGCCAAAUUAAGGUGAAACCGCGAAAGGCUCAUUAAAUCAGUUAUGGUUCCUUAGAUCGUACCCACAAUUACUUGGAUAACUGUGGUAAUUCUAGAGCUAAUACAUGCAAACAGAGCUCCGACCGGAGACGGAAGGAGUGCUUUUAUUAGAUCAAAACCAAUCGGUGGCGGGUUCGCUCGUCAUCGUACAACUUGGUGACUCUGAAUAACUUUACGCUGAUCGCACGGUCAUCGCACCGGCGACGCAUCUUUCAAAUGUCUGCCUUAUCAACUGUCGAUGGUAGGUUCUGCGCCUACCAUGGUUGUAACGGGUAACGGGGAAUCAGGGUUCGAUUCCGGAGAGGGAGCCUGAGAAACGGCUACCACAUCCAAGGAAGGCAGCAGGCGCGCAAAUUACCCACUCCCGGCACGGGGAGGUAGUGACGAAAAAUAACGAUACGGGACUCAUCCGAGGCCCCGUAAUCGGAAUGAGUACACUCUAAACCCUUUAACGAGGAUCAAUUGGAGGGCAAGUCUGGUGC
rnacentral:rRNA from 1 species